rnacentral:rRNA from 1 species
GGUUGAUCCUGCCAGUAGUCAUAUGCUUGUCUCAAAGAUUAAGCCAUGCAUGUCUAAGUGUAAACUAAUUUAUACAGUAAAACUGCGAAUGGCUCAUUAAAUCAGUUAUAGUUUAUUUGAUAGUAACUUACUACUUGGAUAACCGUGGUAAUUCUGCAGCUAAUACAUGCGUUAAAGCCCGACUUCUGGAAGGGCCGUACUUAUUAGAUUUAAGCCAACCCUAGCAAUAGGAUUAUGGUUGAUUCAUGAUAAUUUUUCGAAUCGUAUGACUUUGUGUCGACGAUGGUUCAUU